GCCAGUGUGGUGCAGUGGUUUGAAUGUUGGACUACAACUCCAGGAGAUCAGGAUUCAAAUCCCUUCUCAUCCA